UCUUCCGUAGUAUAGUGGUUAGUAUAUGAGCUUGUCAAAAAUUCCAAGUAAACAACGCUCGGGACCCGGGUUCAAUUCCCGGCGGGAGAG